CAAUUACUCCUGGGUCCGAAAAUACUUGUCAUCAAAAUAUAAAAAAAGAUAUAUUUACAAUUAAAAUACAUCUAGAUACAUCCCCUUUUAUUCAUUUUGAUGACAAGUAUUUCCGGACGGAGGGAGUACCUG
rfam:Triticum aestivum genome assembly, contig: Triticum_aestivum_CS42_TGACv1_scaffold_328896_4BS